rnacentral:lncRNA from 1 species
CUGGCAUACAAAGUUGGGUCAACACACACAAAUCAAUAGAUGUAUUCAUCACAUAAACUGAACUAAAGGCAAAAACCACACGGUAAUCUCAAUAAAUGCAGAAAAGGCUUUUAAUAAAAUUCAGCAUCCCUUCCUGUUAAACACCCUCAACAAAGUAGGCAUUGAAGGAACAUGUUUCAAAAUAAUAAGAGCCAUUUUCGACAAACCCACAGCCAACAUCAUACUGAAUGGGCAAAAGCUGGAAGCAUUCCCUUUGAGAACCAGAACAAGGCAAAGAUGCCCACUCUUACCACUCCUUUUCAACAUAGUACAAGAAGUCCUAGCCAGAGCAGUCAGGAAAGAGAAAGAAAUAAAAAGCAUCCAUGGAGGAAGUCAAACUUUCUGUUGGCAGACAAUAUGAUUUUAUACCUAGAAAACCCCAG